AUUGAACGCUGGCGGCAUGCCUUACACAUGCAAGUCGAACGGCAGCACGGGAGCAAUCCUGGUGGCGAGUGGCGAACGGGUGAGUAAAGUAUCGGAACGUGCCCAGUCGUGGGGGAUAACGUAGCGAAAGUUACGCUAAUACCGCAUACGAUCUAUGGAUGAAAGCGGGGGAUCGCAAGACCUCGCGCGAUUGGAGCGGCCGAUAUCAGAUGAGGUAGUUGGUGGGGUAAAGGCUCACCAAGCCGACGAUCUGUAGCUGGUCUGAGAGGACGACCAGCCACACUGGGACGGAGACACGGACCAGACUCCUACGGGAGGCAGCAGUGGGGAAUUUUGGACAAUGGGCGAAAGCCUGAUCCAGCCAUGCCGCGUGCAGGAUGAAGGCCUUCGGGUUGUAAACUGCUUUUGUACGGAACGAAAAGGUUUGGCCUAAUAAGCUGAGCUCAUGACGGUACCGUAAGAAUAAGCACCGGCUAACUACGUGCCAGCCGCCGCCGUAA
rnacentral:rRNA from 1 species